CCGAGGGAAGAAAAGAGGAAAGAGGAAAGUAUGGGCCGCCCUUUUUUCAUACUUUCCUUUUAUCCCUUUUCUAGAAGACCUAUUUCGUCGCGGAAUUCCGGAAGACUGUCUCUUCUUUUUUUGCCACUGUUUGGAAUGCCACAUCGUGCAAGUAUGAAACGGCGAUCUUGGCUAAGGAUGUGUUAGUGGCGUUGGUGGCUAUCGCGGAUGGUGGUCCUACGUAUGGAUUGUGUCCCCCAGCGGCUGCGUUUCUUCACGCCGCCGUUAAUGGAUGUUGGCAGCACGCCAAUGCAGCUCCACCGAGGUGACACACUGUGAACUUGAAUAAGGUGCCCACUCACUCUCAAUCGGCCGCAAAGGUGAGUUUGUUUUUGAAAUGAUUGCGAACAGGAUGUUUCCGCAUCAAACCCAACAAUCCUACGGCUACAAAUUCCCCCCAACUCCGAUACGAAGAGUAUCUCACACUCUGCCUGACUUUACGUGUCGUGCUUUUCUUUUGUCAGAUGGGAUACGUGAAAACAAAUUGGUAACCUUUGUAGUUGUGUUAAACUAUAUCCAUAAUACCAAAACCACUUUCGCAAUUUUCUAACAUGCGUGCACUUGUAAUUUCUCACGUAACCAUUCAAAUUCUGAAAGUUGUGUGUUGCAAUCUGUACAAGGGAAAUAGGUUUUCGUAUUUUAACGGCUGUUUAAAUUAGAGAGGCAGCAAAACUUUCCGCAGUCACCGGAACGGUCUCAACCCACGCACCGUGGGUUGCGGUCAAGUGAUCGAAAACUGCUUUGCCAUCAAAUGUGGUGGUUGCGGCAAAUGGGGUCAUGGUAAAUACGUUGGUCUCAAACGCUCCCUCGCUCCACAAUUAGACGCACAUGGUUGGCAGUGGAACUGCAACACGUGCUUGCCGAUAGUAAAGGCGGAUAUUUUCAUGAAAGAUGGAAACCUUCAGUCUGCUGUCAACGCCGUUCUUGCCACCAACAACGCCGCUCGAUGCAAGGAAAUUAUCCAAAUGUAUAGAAGAGAUGCAGGAGGAAACACACAACACACAACAUUAAAACACGUUGGGGGAAGGACUAUGGCACGGUAUUUGGCUUACAUACUUUGGCCACAUACCGUGGCAAAAUACCGUGCCAUAGAAGGACCACCACGAAAAGCCUCAAAUUCAUUUUUCAUUUUGAUUAAAGAGAAACAUACCGGUCUUAAAUUUGAUGAAUGUUGCCUGUUUAUCUCAAAGCAUUCCCUUUCUUCGCGGCUUCUCCGGAUCAAUAAAUUUUGUGUGAUUGCCAGGGAUUAGGCUGCAUU